rnacentral:lncRNA from 1 species
CUCCACCAUGCAUGUCUUGCAGCUGUUUUGUGACGGCGGAUGUCGACAGCCAACGCCGGAGCUGACAGCGACUGUUCUUGAAAUUGGUAGGAGUGUGGAGAGGAGUAGGAGGAAGAGGAGAGAAGAGAGGAGGCUUUGAAACUUGUAGGUCUUCUUCAUGUUGAAAUUUAGUUUUGAUUUUUGUUUCUGAGAGAGUUGAAAUUUGAUGUUAUUGCAUUCAUUUAUAUAGAGGUUUUGUCAUGAUAUACAUAAAACAUUUAUGUUGAUUAGGUUAGUAUCUAGUGACUUUCACAAGAGUUAACAGGGCAGUGCCCCCAAUAUGCAUUUAAGUAAAGCAUUCACUGUUCUUGAAGUGUACAAUUUCCUUAAAUGCUCUUUCUGGUAUAUUUUUAUUUUUGGUCAAGUCAUCUUUUUAUUCCAUCAAUAUACAUAUAAAACAUAUUACUGUAAAUAAAACAUUUUCCGGUAACAUAGAAAAAUGGUAGAAAAUUAUGAGUUCUGGUUAGCUUGUAGAAUUUCACAAAAUAUCUAUACGGAAAACUGAAUUUAGCUAUGGUCUCUGAAGGAAUCCAAAGAAGUGUUUUGUAAAAGUUAUUCGUUUGGAUCGAAAAGCCUUAUGGAAUUUUCGUUAUGAUUUUUUUGGUUUUAUUUGAAAAUGAAAGUAAAAACCAGACCACAGUUUUACAGUUUAGCAAACGAAGAUUUUCCAAUAUUUAAAAGUCUGUGGUUUCUAAACGAUGAAGUGUAUAAUUUAUUUCGUCACAAACUAACAUUUAAGUUUUGUUCAUGCGCAUGAAACAAAUAUUUGUAUAGAUAAUAACGAGCUAGAUUGCAAAUUAGAAAAUACUCUGAAAAGAGUAACGUAAAGAACCAAAAAAAAAUUGACAGCGACUGUUCUUGAAAUUGGUAGGAGUGUGGAGAGGAGUAGGAGGAAGAGGAGAGAAGAGAGGAGGCUUUGAAACUUGUAGGUCUUCUUCAUGUUGAAAUUUAGUUUUGAUUUUUGUUUCUGAGAGAGUUGAAAUUUGAUGUUAUUGCAAUCAUUUAUAUAGAGGUUUUGUCAUGAUAUACAUAAAACAUUUAUGUUGAUUAGGUUAGUAUCUGGUCUAGUGACUUUCACAAGAGUUAACAGUGCAGUGCCCCCA